ensembl:lncRNA
GGCAAAUCUUAAAAUUAUCAUCUCUGUUCAGCAGGAGGAGAAAGGGGCCGGAGAGGACUAUGCGGCGAGGGUUAGUAUGUCCACAGAGGGAAGAGGGGGACGGAGCUCCUUCGUCCCUUUCGAAAACCCUUAGUCUUCCUCUUUGGGCUUUUGUUGACUCCUGGCGCCCUUCUUUUCUCCUGAAGGCAGAGUGAAACACACAAUGAAUAAUCGAUCCGGUGAGAGUGGCUACCUGUUACUUGGGUCCAUACGACUGGCUGAUAAAUGACUUGUUCCUCCGAUCUCUUCGCACAGGGUGCUCGGGCGGCGCCUCCCCUUCUGCACACUCCGAGGUGAGCGCCAACCCGCGACACAGAACUCCAAUGGCACUGCAAGAGAGAGGUCACUCAAACUGCGGGGGACAACACAGGUAGGUACUUCACAGGCAACUGGGGCUCUAUUCUCACUUUAGUGAUUCGUAGCAAUGGACAAAGGUAGGUAUUUCACAGGCAACUGGGGCUCUAUUCUCCCUUUAGUGAUUCGUAGCAAUGGACAAAGGUAAGUAUUCGACAGGCAACUGGGGCUCUAUUCUCACUUUAGUGAUUCGUAGCAAUGGACAAAGGUAAGUAUUCCACAGGCAACUGGGGCUCUAUCCUCACUUUAGUGAUUUGUAGCGAUGGACAAAGGUAAGUAUUUCACAACGGGGAUUUUUCACCUAGAAUACUUCUCCUGGGCGGUGGGCUUACGGUGAAAUACUGCGAUACAGUAAGUAGAUGAACUGUCAGACCUGGAGUAGUAAAUCGUCAUAGCGCAGGCCUCCACAGGGAUUUCCUGUGCGUCGGGGAAAGUUAAACACUGUCGCACCGGGCCGAACGCUUCCCUCUCCUCUCUUCUAUUUGCAGUUUAAGGGAUCUGGACCGGGGCGAACCUUUGAAGAGGCUCCACAACAGGUAAAGUAAAUCCACACAGCUAAUUUGCAACAGCAAAACUUCCUCCUUGCAUAUAGGUAUAAUUUUGGCUUUUACUCACACCAGUCUUGCUUACGUGUAUUCUUCAUCACCGCUUCCACAGAGCCAGGGUAUUCCGAAAGGGUCUAGACAGGACGUUACAUUUGGGUCUCCAUGCAGGGGUCGCAAAAUGGCAUAUAGAUGAAAAUGGCGCUUCGCCAGCCUCAACGGUCACUGGUCUCCCCCACGACUCAUCCAGUCCAGGGUGGCUACUGACAACACAACCACAGCAUACCACUGCAAGAUUUCAAGUGUACACACUCACAGCAAAGACAAGGACUCACCCACUGCUUCCACAGAGCCAGGGUAUUCCGAAAGGGUCUAGACAGGACGUUACAUUUGGGUCUCCAUGCAGGGGUCGCAAAAUGGCAUUUAGAUGAAAAUGGCGCUUCACCAGCCUCAACGGUCACUGGUCUCCCCCACGACUCAUCCAGUCUAGGGUGGCUACUGACAACACAACCACAGCAUAACACUGCAAGAUUUCAAGUGUACACACUCACAGCAAAGACAAGGACUCACCCACUGCACUCCACACACUCUACGUGAAAUAGGGUCAGAACCACGGUUUACUAGGACUUAUCCUGGGGUUUCGUUGGGCGUUGUUGAUAGAUGAAGGGCCAGAGGAAUAACGUUGCCGUCAAACAUCAAUAAAUGUCGUAUACUCAGCCCAGUUACUAGUGUCCUUGUCUCCUUCUUCACCCCGAGAAGUUCCUCUGCCUUCACCAAAUGCUGACUCUGCCCAAACCUACACUGCCCGCCGGAUCGGCCUGAAUCGAUUCAACUCCACUCCUGUUUGAAUUUCUGAGACUCUUUUUAUACUCUUCCUGUUCUCUCCGUUGUCCAAUCCACGAUCGCCGCGUUUAUUGUCCUCACCUGUGCCUCGUACAGCCCAAUUUGCCUCCCGGAGUUUCCCGGAAGUUCCGGUGUUUGUAGUAUACGGGCCGGGCGGAAACCAUCUUCGGGCGGAACCAAUCUUCGCCACUUUUGGUUCCGCCCCCAAAAAGUCACAGUGUGACACAUUUCUUUACACCAAAUACACAAAAUAAUGUUCUUUUUAGCAACAUCGUACGACCACUUUAAUAAGUUCUAUGAUGGUUAAAGUAAAAUUGUGUGUGUGUGUGUGUGUGUGUUUCUUUAAUUUAAGUCAUUAUGUUGUGUGUUAUCAUUAGUAGAGACUCCCAAGUCCUGAAGUGGGUGUGUCAGGCAAAGGAGAGCUGCAAAAUGUGCAGUGCUGGGGGAGCUCCAGGACUGUGUUAAGCUGAUGAUAUCUGUUUGAGGGGGCUUAGAAUAGGUAAGUGCUUGGUUAAAUUAUAAAAUUAUAAGCAUUAUGUAGUCCCAAGGCCUGUCCAGAGUAUUUGAACCUGGUCCAGAUGCCCCUAAGGGCAUCCCUGUUAUACCCCCAGAGCUCACUCCAGACUCCGCUACCGCUACAGAAGCAGUUCCUGUCAGUUUUGUCACAUCCUUAGAGGCCAACCCUGAAGUCUUUCUUUUAAUGUAACUGCAUUUCCUUCGACUUAAAUAUAAGGAUGGCAAAAUAUAGUCCACCAUCAGUGAGACCACAGUAUUGCCACUGGAUGGAGGGAAAUUUGUGACAAAAUCCAGGGCAAUAUGUUUCCAGUGUCAGGACAGAACAGGGUGCAGCAGACCAACAGGAGGUAUAUUGGAGGCACAGACCAAGGGUAUCCUCCACCAUGGCCAGCCGCUAACAAUGCAGUCAGUGGCCUCCUUAUUCCUGAAAUGGCAAGCCAGCUUGAAUAAAUGAUCCAAAGUGAAUUGACUCUCAACUCCAACCAAGGCCCACUUGAUACAGUCCUCGAUACCCCAAGAAACACCCCC